rnacentral:rRNA from 1 species
CCUACGGGAGGCAGCAGUGAGGAAUAUUGGUCAAUGGACGAGAGUCUGAACCAGCCAAGUAGCCUGAAGGAUGACUGCCCUAUGGGUUGUAAACUUCUUUUAUAAAGGAAUAAAACGAGGCACGUGUGCCUUUUUGCAUGUACUUUAUGAAUAAGGAUCGGCUAACUCCGUGCCAGCAGCCGCGGUAAUACGGAGGAUCCGAGCGUUAUCCGGAUUUAUUGGGUUUAAAGGGAGCGUAGAUGGGUUGUUAAGUCAGUUGUGAAAGUUUGCGGCUCAACCGUAAAAUUGCAAUUGAUACUGGCAGUCGUGAGUACAGUUGAGGUAGGCGGAAUUCGUGGUGUAGCGGUGAAAUGCUUAGAUAUCACGAAGAACCCCGAUUGCGAAGGCAGCUUACUAAACUGUGACUGACAUUGAUGCUCGAAAGUGUGGGUAUCAAACAGGAUUAGAUACCCCUGUAGUC